UACAGAGGGGGCAAGCGUUGUUCGGAAUUACUGGGCGUAAAGGGCGCGUAGGCGGCCUGUUAAGUCGAACGUGAAAUCCCCGGGCUCAACCCGGGAACUGCGUCCGAUACUGGCAGGCUUGAAUCCGGGAGAGGGAUGCGGCAUUCCAGGUGUAGCGGUGAAAUGCGUAGAUAUCUGGAGGAACACCGGUGGCGAAGGCGGCUAACUGGUCCGAUACUGACGCUGAGGUGCGAAAGCGUGGGGAGCAAACAGG
rnacentral:rRNA from 1 species